UUCAGAGCUAGAUGAUUAGCUGUCUGUCACUACCGUAGGAGAGUCUAAAGUGCUCUGCAGUCUGCAUAGUGAGAAAUUCAAGUACUAUUGUCUGGAGGAUAAGCAGCCCAUCUGUUUAGUGUGUCAAUCUUCUAGAAAACACAAGAGUCAUGACUGCUGCCCCAUAGACGAAGAUGUUCAGGACCUCAAGGAGAAGGGUGAACUCCAGAGAGCACUAAAACCCUUACAGGAGAUGCUAAAGUAUUUCAAAGAAGCUACAGAAAUCUGUACUUCCACAAUGCCUCACAUUCAGAAACAAUUCCAAGACACAGAGAUGGAGAUCAAGCAUGAAUUCAAGGAGUUUCAGGAGUUUCUUAGAGAUGAAGAGAAGGCCAGGAUUGACACACUGAGGCAGGAACAGUUUGUGAAGACUUCAGCAAUGGGUUAAUAGGAUUGACCAGUUGAGACAAGAGAUGUCAUCACUUGUAAACACAAUUGAAGCUAUAGAGGAUGAGCUAUGAGAUGAAGACACCUCAUUCCUUUAGGUCAAGACUGCUCUAAGUUAACAUGAUUUGUUGGUGCAUUUAUACUGAUAAAUAGUGAUAGAUAAAUAUCGGAAUUUAAUCUGGUAGUUUGUUCUUCUGCAUAACUACAAGACUAGAAUGGAAAGGUAAGUGAGCUGCAUCCUGUCUCUCUUCUCUGUGUGUUCUGAACCGCCACAGCACAACCCCCACUGACUCCUGAAUAUUCUUCCAGAGCCCAGUGCACACUGCUAGAUCCAAAUACACAGCUGGUCUCAGGAGCACUGAUUGAUGUGGCUAAACAUCUGGGCAAUCUGUAGUUCAAAGCUUGGGAGAAGAUGCAGAGGAAUGGGAUUGUCACUUACAGUUUGUAUCCAUUUUUUAAAUCUUAGUAAAUAUUGGUGGUGGACACCAAUAUUGAUAAUUCGAUAUGAUAUUGAUAUGAGCAAGGCAUAUCGUGAAAGGUUUAUUAUUCCUGUUAACCUGACCUGGCCCAAUGGGCAAUCCGCAAGCAGUUGUCUGGACUUCACAGAGCUGUGGAAGUGAACAGAAAAGUGAAAAUGUUAUAUAGGGCUGUUAACGUUAAUAACCUGUUAAGGAGUGACAUGUUUUUUUGCUGCAAUUUUUGUUGAUGCCAUUAAUCCAUUUCUCCAUUUCUUCACCGCACAGAACUUUUUAAGCGCACGUGUUUCCACACGGGCCCUUUUAGGCGCAGAACACGACACGGAACACAGCUACAGCAGAGAGGAAGAGAGGCCAAAGAUUAUGGAUAUACUGACAAGAUACAUGUCUCUCCGCCCUAACGAUGGGAGUCGUUGUCCAAAAAGCUCCUGCCUAUCCUUUCUAGAUCCUGCCUAUCCUUUCUUUGGAUUGGUGGAUACAUCUCAUUAUUGUAAACCUUUUUUGAAUACUCGAUGAGGGUUGUUGAGGUCAACCGCCUGUAUUCAAUGGAGAGGUGCUUUGCUACUAUCCUCAUACCAGAUUUUCGGUGGAAAAUCUGUUUCCCUCCAACAGGUGGCAUUUUUUCUCAACUUUUUUUUGCCCACCAGGUAAGGAGUGUUUGUAAUGGAGAUCAAUGAGAGUGUCGAAUUUGGUCAACAAAAAACUGAAUGGCUUAUU